GAUGAACGCUGGCGGCGUGCUUAAUACAUGCAAGUCGAACGGACAGGCCCUGCUUUUGUGGGGUGCUCGAUUGGCGAACGGGUGAGUAAAACGUGUGUAUACUCUCCCUGUAUUUGGGGGAACUUCACGAAACAGCGGCUAAUAUCGGAUAGGAGAUCCUGAUCCAUGUUGUGGGUUGGUAAGUUUCGGCGGUUGGGGAUGGAAUCGCGGCUUAUGCGCUGGUUGGUGAGGUAGUGGCUUACAAAGGCUUUGACGGGUAGGCGGCCUGAGAGGGUGACCGGCGACAUUAGUACUGCGAGACGGCCCAGACGCCUACGGGAGGCAGCAGUGGGGAAUAUUGCGCAAUGGGCGGAAGCCUGAUGCAGCAACGCCGCGUGCGGGAUGACGGCCUUCGGGUGGUAAACCGCUUUCGCAUGUAACGAAGCGUGAGUGACGGUAAUGGGUAAAGAAGCACCGGCUAACUACGUG
rnacentral:rRNA from 1 species